CACGUAGGGCGCAAGCGUUGUUCGGAAUCACUGGGCAUAAAGCGCACGUAGGCGGCGACGUAAGUUGGGUGUGAAAUCCCUCGGCCCAACCGAGGAACUGCGCCCAGUACUGCGUUGCUUGAGGAUCCAAGGGGUGCAUGGAAUUCCCGGUGGAGCGGUGAAAUGCGUUGAUAUCGGGAGGAACUCCGGCGGCGAAAGCGGUGCACUGGUGGAUUUCUGACGCUGAGGUGCGAAAGCCAGGGGAGCAAACGGG
rnacentral:rRNA from 1 species